AGAUGGGUAGAUAGGUGAUUAGUGAGAUCGAUGGUUAGUUCAGUCACUGGAUGUAUAGCUAGAUGUACGGUUGAGUAGAUGGAUAGAUGGGUAGAUAGGUAGGUGGAUGGGGGGAUGUACGUAUUGAUUAGACAGAUGAAUGUGUACAUGAAUGUGAAUGUGUGGGAUGGUUGGGUGGACACAUGGUGAUAGAUGGUUGGGUGGGUGGAUGGAUGGAUAUAUAGAGAAAUGCAUACCUGGGUUGGGUAAUGAUGGGUGAAUAGAUGCAUGAGAGAUGGGUCGGCAGAUGGAUGGGUCACAGCAAAGAGAAGGAAGUUAGCCCUGUCCUCAUAUCGCCUGGCCCUUGGCUUUAGAAGACGAUCCAGGGUGCUCUGUAUCUAGCAUUCCAAACAUAUCCGUUCCUCCCACAUGCCUGCCCAAGUGAUGUUAAAUCCCUUGCCUGCCCCCUUACCUGCCAGGGCACCAAUGCCACUCAUGCCUAUGGCCUGCGCCUUAGAACUGAAGACUGAAUUCAGAUGAAGCCAUUGUUGACACCGUUGCAAACGGGGGCCUACGUGAUUUACUUUUCCAUUGAUGCGAUAUAACGCCAUGACUAAGGCGGCUCGAGGAAGAAGAAGGUUAUUUAGCUUUAUGGUUCUGAGUGGAUAAGAGUCCGUUGUAGCAGAGCAGGAGGCAGAGGUUGGAGGUGGAAGCUAAGAACUUAAAUCUUGGAGCAGAUGCAGCAAACAGCGAAAUGGCAGGAGUCUAAACUCUCAAAACUUACCGUUAGUGACUCACCUCCAGAAGGCCAUUAUCUACUCAAGGCCACACCCCUCAAGGCCAAGGCCACACCCUCAAGGCCACGCCUCCUCAAGGCCACACCCCUCAAGGCCACACCCCUCAAGGCCACACUUCCUAGGCCUCUCCAACUGAGCACCAACAGAGGGCCAAGUGUCAAAAUGACCCAGAAUGAGAGGGGCAGACCUCAUCAUCUGACAAGCCGGGAGGUUGGAAAUCAUGGAGCAGACUGCCGCCCCACCUCCUUCUGCCCACAAAGCCCCAAUCUGAGUAAAUCCAGCUCCAGCAGGCCUUUCCCUCUGACAGACUCAACCAAAACAAUCAGACUUGUCAGGACCCAUCAAGCAAGGCAGGCUGCAGGCAGUGAAUUGAAUUUGCAAGCAAGAUAAUCAGUUAUUGACUGAAGGGGUGAGCUGCAGCUCUGGCCUACUCCUGAGGAAAUGAACUUCUUCACGUCCUGGUAUAUUUACUGGUCAGAGUGAAGGGUGCUGCUGGAAGUUGACGCUGGUGGGAGAGUGGAAAGAUGGAUGGGAGCUGCACCUUCCCUCCCCUCCCCUCCUCUCCACUUUAUUCCCCUUUUCUCCCUUCCUCCUCUCCCUUCCCCUCCUCCCUUCCCCUCUUCCCUGCCCUUCCAUCCCUUUCCCUCCUCCCCUCUUCUCCUCUCUCCUCACCUUCUCUCCCUUCCCCUCUCCUCCUCUACCCUCCCCUCCUCUCCAAUCCUCUCCCUUCUCCUCCUUUCCCUUCCCCUCCCCUCCUCUCCCCUUCCCUUCUUCCCUUCUCUCCUUUCCCCUCACAUCCCUUCCCCUCCUAUUUUCUCCCCUCCCCUUCUCUCCCUUCCUCUCCCUUUCCCUCCCCUCCUGCUCUCCUCUUCCCUUCUCUCCCCACCCACUCCCCUCCCUCCCUUCUCUCCUUUCCCCUCCCAUCCCUUCCCCUCUUAUCUUCUCCCCUCUCCUCCCCUCCCCUCCCCUACUCUUCCUUCCCCUCCCCUCUCCACAUCUGUAGGGAAAGUAUAUCCGGAAAAGCAUGUGUCUUGGUAAAACGCACAGGUCAGUCUCAUACCUCACAGGAGGGACGAUGGGGGUGGAGGCCCAGACUCUUGAUUUUGAUUUUCCUGGCUCUCCUAGAUGCUUCUGGCUUUGAGCAAGAAUGGAAGGAACACAGCCAGCACCCCAGUCCUCUCCUCUAAUGCCAGGCUCUCACAAGGGGUGCCGGAUGCCGGGUUUGACUUCCACCCUUAAAGCUCCUGGCUGUAGGAUGUCUGCAUCAACUGUAGGGGGCACUAUAGGCCUAACAACAGUACGGGGACAGCCUAUGAAGUCCUGUUGUGCUCAGCAUUCAUCAUAAUUAUAAAAUGUGUCCCAAUUCCAGGCAAGAUAAAACGAGAAUCGAGGACACGUGUCUCCGCGUCAAGAAAGCAUGGGGCUGUUAUUUUCAUUAUUCUCAUUAAUUUGUUUAUAUCUCACUCUGUACCCAAAGGGUUUGCCUUGGGGAAUUGAGUCAGCUAUGCCUGACUCUCUCAGAUGUGGCUCGGUUUGGAGGCUACAGCGGACGAGGCAGCUUUGACCAGCCUUAGACCGCCAGCUCAGAAGGUCCUCGAUGACGUCCCACAGGCAGAGAAGUCUGCAAGGUCUGUGCACCAAAUGCCUGUUAUCUUCGGAGGCCAGAAGAGGGCGCCAGAUCUACCGAAUCUGGAAUCGUGGGUAGUUGUGAGCCACCACAUGGGUGCUGGGAAUCAAAUGCACGAUCCCUGGGAGAGCAGCCAGUGCUCUUAGAAAGGAGAAGGGACAGUGGAUGCUCUCCUUCCAAGGAUGACCACGUGAGGUACACGGUGAAGGGAACCACCUUGAAGCUACGGAGAGAGGCCUCAGAAGAUGACAGCAGGAAACACCAUCACCCUGGUCACCGAUCUCCUCGAAGGCCUCAGAAUGAUGAGAAUGCAGGUUUGUGCUGUGGAAGGCCUCGGGUUCCUUGCCAGUCUUGAGCUCACUAAUGUCAGCACCUUGAGCCCAUUUCGUGUGGUGCCUUGGUUCCCCUCCACCAGGGCCUUUCUGAGGCUGCCACUGGCCGUCUCUCCUCUGUCUGCCCAGCGGCCUCCUCUCUGGAGUCUUCCCCGACUCUGGAAGAUCUACACCCUGGGAGCCUCAGAUCCUUGCCAGAACCUCUGUAGUUGGCUCAGCUCAAACCUGGAGUUCAGGGAGAGGGGACACCUGGUGAUUUGUCUCCACUAAUGGAACUCGGCUAGAGAGAGCUGGAGGCCGGCGGGAUUGUCUUAGACAAUUUCCUGCGGUACAAAUGCUAAUAUUUCAACCAGUGGGCUCAAGGGAGGAAUCCGUAAUUCCUCUAAAGAGGAUGGCCAUUUCAAGACAUCCCUGGGCACCGAUUCUGGAGACCAGCUCCUGGGCUGGAUGGGCUGUGGGCUCAGCCCGCAGUGACCAUUCUUAUCGCCGUAACUAACCAGAACAGCUGAGUGAGAAAGGCAGGAAGAUGCCUCCGGGUGACUUGUAAGGGAUGGGAUGGGAACUCAUGAAGACGUAGGUGUUGGCAGGGCUCUGGGGAGGGUAAGACUAUAUCUCAACUGUAUGCAUGCUGUUCCCCUCAAAGCCCUUUACUCAAAUCCACCCUCUUCUCGUGCUGUGGCCUUUGUGCACCUGUGAGCUGAGGACUCUUACAACAACAUGUGUUAUUGGUGGAACAGGGGUGAGUUACAGGUCUGGGGGACACUUUCUGUGGCUGAUGGCUGCGUUGGCAGCUCAACAUAUGACUUCAUGGUCUUGGUUUCCCUGGUUGCUAUGACAACAUGCCUUAAACCCAGUGGCUUAGGGCAUUUCCUUUGAAGAGAAAUCUGACUCGAGUCUAUGGUUCCUUCUAGAAGUUCUAGGGGGCAAUCUGGCCCUCACUAUUUGCAACUUCUGGUGGCUCCCAUGUUCCUUGACUUGUGUCUCCACAUUGCAACCUCCGUCUCUGUUGUCACAGAGCACUGUCUCUGUCCCUGGGUCAGGUAGCCCUGGCCCUUCAUCACAGGAUGACCAUGACUAUACUUAGGGCCUGUGUUAAUAACUUUCCUUGAGGCUGUGACAGAAUACCUUCUAAAAGCAACCUAAGGAAGGGAGGGACGGUGGUUUCAGGUCUCAGUCAUCCUGGUGCGUGAUAGCGAUUGGAGUGGGGUACACUGACUUAGAGCCUGGUCUGGAUCCACUCAGAGAAGCCAGCUUUAUGGUGUGGCCCUGGGCAAGUCACAGAGCACUUCUCAGGCAGAAAGGAACAUGAUUCCUUGCUGUCAGGGUCAAAGGGAAAGGUUACAGCACAGGUCUUAUUCCAAAUCUUCCCUGCAUGCGGUGGGGUGUUCCCAGUUCACAGCCUUGCCAUCGUGUAAAUGUAGCUUACCAAGCAGGCGACACCAGCAUCCAGUGAGCCCUAGGCAUUCACCUGUCCACCUUCCCAACUCUGGAAUUACAGAUUAGGAAGUGGCUUCCUGACACACCCAAUUCUAAGAAAGUACAGUGUUUACAGUAUUUUCAUCGAUUCUUUGAAAAUGUCAUAAAUGUGUAUAUCCUUUGGUCACAUGCACUCCCACCAUCCUCCCCCCCUCCCACUUCUUCCAGACCCACUCCCACCUUCUGCCUCUCCCAGCUUCAUGUCCCUAUUUCUCCCUGUAACCCACUCAGGACAAUUUGUGCUGCCCGUGCACUCAAAGGGUGUAGAGCCAUCCACUGAAGCACCAUCAAUCUGCCAGGUGCCACAUCCUUGAGGAAACCUGGCUUUCCCUCCCUUAGAAGCCAUCAACUGUCUGUAGCUCCUUGGCUGCAGGCAGCUCUUCAGGUGACCCUCCUUCCCCGGGUUAGAAUGUUGGCUGGUUUGAUCUUGUGCGGGUCUUGAACAAGUGCCACUGUCUCUCUGAGUUCAAGAGCCCGUUGGUCUCCUUGUGUCCAGAUGGUUUAGUUUGACUCUGGUUCUCUCUAGCUUUGACAAAUGUUCUGUCCCCACUUUGUCAACACCCCUGAGCAAGGGAACACGAGGGCCUUGGAUGUGGGUCCUAGAGAUUGAAGUUAGAUGUUCCUUCACGAAAGGCCUGCUCUGCAGGCCCUGUGGUCAUGUCCCUACAAGCGUCAAGCACGUCCUUUAUCGAGUGUGUCCGCUGUCUUUGCUUCAGCUCUGGUGGUUACCUCGAUGUCAGCUUUGGCUGUGGUGACAAAUCCACGUGGCUGUGCCUCCUGCACACCCAACUGAUGACUUAGGGUUCUGAAGGCAUCAGGCUAAGGAGGUGGCAGGCUCAGUGCAAAGCCACUUCCUAAUUAGCAGCUGCCUCCGUCCGGGCGUCUGUUGCUGUGAUAAACACAUGACUAAAAAGCAAGUGGGGAGGGGCUUGUUUCAUUCAUACACUAGCAUCCUAGUCCCUUGGCAAAGGAAAUCAGGGCAGGAGCUCAAGCAGAGCAGGAACCUGGAGGCAGGAGCUGAGGCAGAGGCCAUGGAGGAUGCUGCUGACUUACCCCUCCUGCCUUGCUCAGCCUGCUUUCUUAUAGAAGCCAGGACCAGCAGCCCAGGGAUAGAACCAACCAUAAUGGCUUACGUGUGCUCGUGUGACCUGUCAUGUGUAGUCAAGUGUGCUCAUGUGUGCCCAAGCUUGUGUGUGUUCAUGUGUAGCAAACUUCUCAGGAGCCAGUUUCUGGUUUCUCUGCUCCAUCCAAGAACUCUGUGCACAAAUGAAUGCUCAGCCUGGAGAGGAGUGAGAGGCGUCCGGGAUGUGGUAGGGGACACUCAGUCCCUCGCACAGUGACAUAGAGCGGCUGAAGGCUGUGUGCUCAUUUCUGUCUCUGGCGAUGUGUACGUGUCAAGAAAGCGUUGAAACUCUCUACAUGUAUCCCUGAGCUAAAGGGGACAUUGUUUCCAAGCCAAUGGGCAGAAGGAAGGAAGAAAAGCUGAAGGGAAUUUUCUUCUGAGGAGCGGCACAGAUCAGUUCUGCCUUCACGCGUGCGUGCACGUGUGUGUGUGUGUGUGUGUGUGUGUGUGACAGAGAGAAAGAGUAUGUGUGUGUGAGUGAGUAUUGUGUGUGUGAGUGUGUGUGUGUGUAUGCGUGAGUGAGUGUGUGUGGUAGUAUAUGAGUGUGUGAGAGUGUGUUGUGUGAGUGUGUGUGUGCGUGUGUGUGUGUAUGCAUGAGUGAGUGUGUGAGUGUGUGAGUGUGUGUGAGUGUGUGCUCUGUUAGCUUGCCCUAUUUAAGUUGCCAGGAAGGUGGGGAAGCUAGUGGCCAGCUCGCCACCCCCACACUGCCCCAGCCAUGCACAGUGCAUUGUAACAACAAAGGGGGGGCCUGGCAGCUGGGCCUUUAGCAGUCACAGCUACUGAGAGAGAUGAGAUGGAAGGCAGGGAGGUGCCCCCCGGGAUGGAAAUGAAGUGACCCCGUAGUACGCAUCUACCUAAGCCUGUUCUAACCCAGAAUGCAGUGCUCCGAGGAGCAGAGAUCGAGGGGCUGGGACCACAUUGUUAGAACACGAACCGUUUCUUAAGGAAAGAGGUGAGUCUUUUUCUGCAGGAUGACUCACAGUGGAGGGGCGUCCAACUCCACACUCAGUCAUUCAGCAGCAGGCAUGUCUAACCUCAGCGAAGCUGUUCUGCUGUAAGAACCCGUUUCAGCAGGCUGGAGAGCAAGGCAAGCAAAUGCAAGGCUGUGGCAAGCAUCCCAGGGGCUGGAUCUGCCGAGUGUCAGCUCCUCUGUCAGCUGACCUCAUGGCCCCACCAUCUCUUAAGAGAAGCACGGGGUGGUGACCAGCACAGAAGAAAACCUAAAAACUAGAGCGGAAUCGGGCGUGAGAACCCUCAGCCUCUGCCUGCCUGGACAUUUUUAUCUUCCUAGGAACCAAGCUACAGAGGUAGCAGCCAUCCCAGUUCCGAGGCUCACCUUCCAGAACACUGUCCACUUCACUUUAGUUUCAGUUCCCACUUGAGACCCAGAGUGUGUCCAGCACCCCACGCUGUCUCCUGAUCCCUGUGUAUAGAGCCAAACCAUGAAAGAGCCCCCCGAACCAGCUGCAAAAUAAGAUGGCUUCCAGGUUUUGCUAAUUUCUGUCAUAGGCAACUGGAGACCCCCUGUGUGUCUUAGGGAGUAAAAGUGUCGGGUUGAAAGACUUCAUGGUAAACACAGUGGGGCAGCCUUGUGGGCUUAAAACCACACGAGCAGUAGAGAGAAGGCUCAGCAUGUAAGGGCACUUGCCAUUCAGGCUGAGGACAUGAGUUCAAAUCCACAGAACCCACACGCAGGGAGCAGCAGGAUGCUCCAAGUGCCUGUAACUCCUGAGCUGUAGGGGACAGAGGCAGGAGGAUCACUGGGUUUGCUGACUGCCGGCUUAACUCAAGUUUCAGCAGCAGACCUUGUCUUAAGUGAGUAAGGCAGAGAGUUAGAGAACGGUACACUGGACAUCCUCUUGUGACUUCAGUGCCUGUGUGAAGUAGUAUAUAUACACCUAUGUAACAAACAGAGACACCCCUUACACACACAGAAAGACAGGCAGGCAGACAGACAGAUCACAUACACCUACACAUAGGACCCCCCCACAUAUACGCACAUACAGAGAGAGAGAGACAGAGAGAGAGAGAAAGAGAAACACCACAUACACACACCUUACAGACACACACACACACACAGAGAAACACACCACAUACACACACAGACACCACACACUCACAACAUAGACAGAAACACACCACAUGCACCAUACACACACACACACACACACACACACACACACACACACAGAAACACAUCACAUACACAUAGACACCACACAGCCAUAUCACACCACACAACCCCCCCCUCCCACAUACCUCUGUGGCAGAAACAAUUCUUAAACUGAGUGGCUUCAAGUAGUAGAGCUAUGUUGUCCCACUGUCACAUCUACAGUGAGUUGUUGGCAGGGCUCCAGUCCCUUUGAGGCUCUGGGGAGGGAUCCCUGCUUUGGGUGGCUGCUAGCACACCUUGUCUUAGAUCACGCUGAUUACUUUGUUGGCAUCCCUGGGGUUCCUCUCUGGGAGUCCCAUCUCCUUGACACCCUUGUCCACUCCCCUCUUCUGUGAUGGAUAGCUGUGAUUAAUUUCGGCUUCUCCUUGACGAAGUACAGCCUUGUGUUUGCUCAGUGACAAUGCAUUUCCAAAUAAGGUCACAUUCACAGUCAUCAGGGACGACUUUUUGACAGGAAAAACUUCAACCCCAUUAAAUGUCACAUGAAGUCUCAACCUUGUCAUCCUGGAGGGGGCUGAAUAAUUUUCUUGCUGGGUAAGGACAUUGUGGGCUCAAAAUCUGCUUUCACUACCUGAAGAUGGGGUACCCCUCCCCACCAGCUUUUCUUCAUUGUCGUGAACUGGCAUGGUAGUUCCAAGCACAUUCUCAUCCCUAAAUGAGACAUAGGGGGAUGAAUUGAAGGUUUGGCAUCACAGAGGUUCAUUUGUGGAAGGAGAUGCUGGGGAGAGAACCCUCAUGGGGGAGGGCAAUAAUGAUAGCUCUUGGGUACUUGAGACAUUUAAAGUUCACCUUGUGCAAGAUUGAGCCAACAUCUUUCCUACCAAAUGCAAACAUCCAUCCUCAGCUUAUGAUGCACCUUCCUAGCUUGGGUGACUGUUUGGGGACUCAUCCUGGACUCCUCUUUCUCUAUCGUCUCUAAAUUAGUCUAGAAUCCAAGCACUUUUUCCCUAUCCCCUAGCCAACACCUGCCCCUGACCACCAUCUGCCCUUAGCCACCACCUGCUCCUGGCCAAUACCUGUCUCUGGCCAACACCUGACCCUGGCCAACACCUGCCCUUGGCCAACACCUGCCCUUGGCCAACACCUGCCCUUGGCCAACACCUGCCCCUAGCCAACAACUGCCCCUGGCCCCCUGGGCUCCCUCUGGUGUCUUCUCUGUUCUCUUCAGUGACAAGAAAACACAGCUCCCAGGUCUGUCCACUCCACACUUGAUAUGGUAACCCAAUAGGAGACCUGGGCAUGUGUGAAAAACCAAACAAAUGCUACCAAUUAUUCAGAAAUAAUUGCUCAGCAGCAAACAAAGAUAGCCGGGAAGUAUAAUCUGGCCCGAUUUAUGGACUUUUCAACAAUUUUAUUUUUUAAAAAGAAUAGCAUGCUCUUUACAUCAUUUUCCCCCUCCCAUGCUCCCUACAACUUUCCCUGUGUCCCACUCCUUCUCAAAUCCUCUUGUUUUUCAAUUAUUAUUUUCUUACAGGUAUAUAGUGGCAAACUUUUAAAGAGAACCUGAUGAGUUCGUUUAGCGUUGCUCAUAUGUAUAUGCGUUUAAGGCUGUCCAUGGGGGGUGGGGGAGUAGAUCAUCUACACGGUGCUCCUCCCCGUCUCAGCAGCUGGUGACUGCCUGUAGCUCAUUGCCUGCGGAUGGGCUCUGUCCACUGUCCACUGCCCUCUGUAAGAGACUGUGGACAAAAAUUAAAACGACCGUAAGAGUUAUUAUGGAUAACAUGGAAACCAAAAAUUGGAGAUUUGGAUAGAAUUGAAACUAAAUCUUUGGAAAGCAUAAAUGACUAAAAAUGCCUGAGGAGGAAAAAGUUCCUCAAUAUUCGCAUAACUGUUACAGAAAUUGGAUUCAGUUUAAAAUACGUCUACAGAGAAUGUACAAUACCUUACGAGUUUUGCCUCCAAGUUUUACUGUUAUUCAAAGAAUAGGCAUUAUUUUUCCCACUCAAAAAUUUUAGGAAACAGUUUUUCAAACUCAACCUAUGAGAAGUAUGUAACCUUGAAAUCAAGACGAGGGUGGCCUGAGGAAAGGCUAGACUCAAACAUUAACACCCCGUCCAAGGCCCUAAAUAUUUGCCGGCCCAGUACAGUUUGAAGGUGCAAAUGUGUGUCAUUUCCAUUUCUAGAGAGCAAGACUGGGAGCUAUAUUGACUUUCUUGUUUCUUGUACGUUAACAUCUUAAAGAAAGAGAGACAUUUAGUUGUCUCAGUAGACAUAGAAAGCUUUCCUUGCAUCCAGCAUUAAUUUAUCACAGUCCUUACUCAAACUCCAGGAGGCUGUUUUCCCUAGGAAAGCACACAGUCCAGGGCAAAAUGGUUCCAGUGUUCUUCAAGGCUAGCACCAUCCCAUCACCGUCCAGGAAAUGCUGUACCAGAGGAAGCAAGCAAUGCAGUAACACAAGAAAGUGAAUUUACACAGAAGACAGAGAGCCAAGGAGGGAAAGAACUGAGUGUGUGUGUGUGUGUGUCUGUGUGUGUGUCUGUGUGUGUCUGUGUGUGUAUGUGUCUCUGUGUGUAUGUAUGUAUGUAUCUGUGUGUGUGUCUGUGUGUGUGUUUGUGUCUCUGUGUGUGUGUCUGUGUGUGUAUCUGUGUGUGUGUCUGUGUAUGUGUCUGUGUCCCUGUGUGUGUGUCUGUGUGUAUGUGUGUGUGUGUGUCUGUGUGUGUGUGUCUCCAGGAAUCCAGAGGGAAACACUACAAGUGAAGCAGCCUCUAGGGGAAGGAGGAUCACCUUAUCGAUCCUACGUCUUAUAUAACCUUUGAAACCUUACUGGAUAUAAGAUCAAUAGGCAAGUUAAUUGUAUUUGCGUAAAUAGAAUGAUCGAAUUCAUUUUACCAAAAAGAAAUUUACAAAUACCAAUGCCAAUAAAGGUAAACCAGGAAUAAAUCUAAUCAAAUGGUCGGGAGCUAUUUAUACAGAAUGUUACUGAAACCAUUGAAGACUCCUUCAAGACACUCUGAUGAAUUAGAACUUACCACACAUUUAUGGACAGGCCAAGACGAGAAAGGGACUAAUCGAUCGAUUAGUAAUGUUGAAAUAAUUGCUUAUUCCAUGGAAAUAUGGACUCUCCUGUUCACCUCUCAUAUGACAUUCAUCAAGAUGUGUAGGAACCAGCACUUCAAAGAACAAAGAACACGGUAGGGAGAUGGCACGAAGGUAAGACAGCUUGCCGCACAAGCAGGAGGACCUGAGCUUAGAUCCCUACCACCCAUGCAAAAGCCAAGCAUGGCCCCAGGUAUUUGUGACCCUGAGUUAGCAGUGGGGCAGGACGAAGCAGGGACAGCUGGACCCUGGGCGCUAGUUAGCCAGUGCAGUGGGCAUGGUAAGCCUUAGGUUCAGUGAGGAUGCUGUCUCAAGGAAAUGGAGACAGAGAGCAGUAGAGGAAGACGUCCAAUUUCCCCCUCUAGCUGCCAGAUAAGCACACAUGUGAACAGACAGACAGACGAAUCACAGGCAGAAUUACAAUCACAGACAGACAGACACACAGACAGGCACACACACAGACAGAAUCACAGACAGACACACAAACAAGCACACAGACAGAAUCACAGACAGACAGACACACAAACAAGCAGACAGAAUCACAGACAGACACACAGACAAGCACACAGACACACAAACAAGCACACAGACAGAAUCACAGACAGACACACAAACACAGAGACAGACAGACAAAUGCACACACAGAAACACAGACACACAAGCACACAAACAGAAUCAUAGACAGACAGAUACACAGACAGGCACACACAUAGACAGAAUCACAGACAGACACACAAACAAGCACACAGACAGAAUCACAGACAGACACACAAACACACAGAUAGAAUUACAGGCACACAAACACAAAAACAGACAGACAAGCACACACACAGAUACACAGAAUCACAGACACAGACACACACAGAGACAGACAAAUGCACACACAGAUACACAGACAGACACACACACAGACAGAAUCACAGACAGAUGGACACACAGACAAGCACACACAAAAUCACAGACAGACAUACACACAGAUAGAAUCACAGACAGACACACAUGCAGAUAGAAUCACAGACACACACAGACAGGCACACACACACAGACAGAAUCACAGACACACAAACACACAAACAAGCCGACAGACAGACACACAGACAAGCCCACAGAUAGACACACAGACAAGCCCACAGAUAGACACACAGACAAGCCCACAAUAGACAGACACACAGACAGACAAACACACACAGAAUCACACACACACACACACACACACACAGACAGGCACACAGAUAAGCACACACACAGAGACAGACAGAAUCACAGACACACAAACAGACAAGCACACACACACACAAAGACAGAUGCACAGCAGACAGACACACACUAUUCGAAAGAAGAGAAGUUGAUUUCCUACUUUAUUCCUUUAAAAUGUUUUUCUUUUACUUUUGAGAUUAUAAUUGCACUCUUCCUCCUCCCCCUUCUUCCCUCCAAACCCUUUCAUAUGUUCCUCCUUGAGAGCUGUUAUUUCUUAAAUGCAUGUGAGCAUACAUGCACAUGUAUGUAUGCAUAUACUUACACACACACACACACACACACACACACACACACACGAAGAGAGACUGAUUUCUUAAAGGAGGUUUGGAAGAGAUGUUACUAGUGAGAUGCCCAAUAAAAUAAUUCAUAAUGACAAAUUAACACAUCUGAUGAUAUAAAAAUCUAAAUACUUCUAUUUUAAAUAAACAUUUAGUGUAUGCAUAUGAGAAUUUUGCUUGCGUGUGUGCCUGUGCACACAUGCAUGCGGUGCCCACGGGGGCCAGAAGAGGACAUUUGAUUCCUGGAACUAGAGUUACAGGUGAUUGUGUUUUCCUGGUAAUGAUUCACGAUCUGUAACAAGGACACUAAACAUCUCCUCAGUGUCAUUUAAACAACACAAGGUGGACCAGAGAGACGGCUCUGCAGUUCAGAGCACUGGCUGCUUUAUUAGAGGGCAGAGUUUGGUUUCCCGUACCCACAGAGAAAUCCAGUAGUCAAGAAGAAAAGGGGGCAAGCAUCACACGGAGGUGUUUCCCAGGGCUCCCCACUAACCUGCCAUUGUGGUUAUGUGAAGAGAUUUAAUUAGUAACCAUGGAGAUGCAAACUAAAUAAGAACUAGGGACCCUCUUAUUCUGAUACAAGGGUCAGAGUCUACUGGGCCAUCUGUCCUUCAGCCCUCCUCUUCUCCUCCCCCUCUGCAGACUAGCCUUGUAGGAUUGACCACUGGCCCACACGUGCUGCUUGAACUUCAUAGCUUGCAUGGAGAAGAGUGAGUUUGAAAGACUCCCCGAUGCCCUCAGGGUGCCCCUCUCCACCUGAGCCCUUACUGAAUUGUCCUCCCCAUGUCUCCAGUGAGACAGAUCUCUGUCCAUGCCUUCGCCUUCUCUUUGUCCCUUCACCCCAGGGAUGGUAUCAACACCCUUCACCACCUUGGUUCCCUGAAAGGGAACCAAGUUUGCUGAGUCCUUUUCAUGGGAGAGCCUGCUUCCUGCUGGGUCUGAUCAACACUCCCAACAGAAGAACAGAACUUAUCUCACAGCCCAGCCGUUCCAUGUCCACAUAUGUCAUACCAGGGAAACUCCAGGCCCAACAUGUGCUGAUAAUGAUCUUAUUGUGACAGACCCAGAUGCUCAUCGACAGUAUCAGGACAGACCAGAAGAGGGCAUCAGAUCCCAUUACAGAUGGUUGCGAGCCACCAUGUGGUUGCUGGGAACUCAGGACCUCUGGAAGAGCAGACAGUGCUCCUAAUCACUGAGCCAUCCCUCCAGCCCCAUCGAGUUAGAAUUAUUUGUUAAGGUUGAGUCUGGGUUUGGGCAGGGUUAAUUGUCUCUUGGUUAGAGUUAGGGUUAGGGUUAAGGCUAGGUUAAGGUCUUGGUUAGAGUUAGGGUUAGUGUUAAGGCUAGGUUAAGGUCUUGGUUAGAGUUAGGGUUUGGGUUAAGGUUAGGUUAAGGUUAGUUAGGAUUGUUUUAAUGCCUCAUGAUGCUACAAAAUGUGUAGAAAUUUUAUGGUUAGGGUUAGUCUUAGAUUAGAGUUAGGUUGAAUUUAGGGUUAGGCUAUGGUUGUUUUAGUUUCUGGGUUAGGUUAGGUUAGAUUUAGUGCUGGCCUCUGUUGGUGUAAUGUCUUAGAAUGUUCACUGGUUUUGCUGGAACUCCUCUUAUGACUGAGAACUUAAUUAAGCUCAUCUUGAGGUCUGUCUUGGAACCCUAAGGCCUGGAGCUUUUCCUUUAUCCUGCAGAGCAGUUCUCUGUGUCAGUGAUGUUUAUUCUGUGCUGCCCCUCUCCUGAAGAGUGUAGUUCGAUUAUGUACUCUUCCAGAAGGGGAUGAAAUGAAUUCUGUGAUGUGACAGCCUGGAUGGAGGGACCAUCUCUCCAAGAUCUCCUAAGGUGGAAAUAGUGCCCUAUGUCCCCAGUGUUCACUGUGGAUGCCUGAGCAUGGGUGUCUUGUAGAAUGUGGCGCUGAACAGGGUCCUGGUGAGCUUCAGUUGUCCACUCCACACAGUUUAUGAACACGUGGAAGGAGAGUCUCAGUGGGGACUGUGUACAUUGGGUUGGCCUGUGUGCUUGCCUGUGUUGACUGAUAUGGGAAGACUCAGUCCACUACUGGCAGCACCAUCCCCUAGCAGGGUGUCCUGAACCGUGUGAGUGGGAACGCCGACUUGUGCACAAGCUAGAAAGCGUGUAUGCAUUCAUUUUUUUUUCCUGCCUGAUUGUGGGUGUGAAGCAAGCAGCUGAGUUAAGCUCCAACUGCUGUGAGUUUGCUGCUGUGGUAAACUGCAGCCUUGGAUGAUGAGCUGAAAUAACCCCUUCUCCGUGGAGUUGCAUCUUGUUGUGUUACUUUAUCGCAGCAAUGGAAAUGAAACUAAAUGGUAACCUAAACUGUGAGACGCAGAUGCAACAGAAGUCGACUGCUGGCUGAGGCAGAGCCUUGAGGGCCAGGCAGAUGAAGAUUUUGUAAAUAUCACCCUUAUUAAAGGUUUAUUCGCAUCUGAGAGCAUGGACUCUAUGUAGGCUCACGUUUGACAAGUUCUAAAGUGUAUUUGUGUAGCUACCCCCAAACUCUCCCGUACCACUCUUCCUUGAGAGAUGUGAAAAACGGUUUGCUAACCCCGGGGAGGGAACUGAUGUCAAACCAAAGGACAGACGCCACCCCUGAGGUUCAACUCGGUAAAGCAAUGAGUUUUACUGGGGUUAAUUACAGGAGCAGAAAUGAACAAAGACAGCUGUGUUGCCAAAGUCUGCCCCAGCAUGGGUUACAGACGGCUUACAGGAGAGACAGAGCCUUGGAGGGGUUCAUUGCACACAGCCUGUGCCUCAGCAGAUUGGAGAGUUUGGGUAACUAGUUUGGUCUGAGUCUUCAUGGAAACUCACUCUCUCUCCUUUCUUCCAGGCAGCUUCGUUUGUCUCUGCUUCUUUCAUAGCUUGGCAGGUCUGAGCCUCUUCUCGGCCCUGGGCUUGUCUAAGAGUGACUCUCAGUAGUUUUUCCUGUUUAAAUAUGUGUGGAGAGAGAGAGGGACCUAGAGAAACUGCUCCAUUUCAGGGACUUCCGGAAGCCAUUUUGAGCUAUUUCCUGUCUCAGCAUGACUUCCUGUGGGACAUGAUGUUGCAAUAUCUCUUCUUUUACUGUUUCUUUAAUGACCUCCCCUCCAAGAUGGGUGGUUUGAAUCUCAUGGUAAGCUGCUACCCACACCCAACCCUAGUUCCUAUAUGUGCAUAGCGAAGCCUCAUUUCUGUUGCCUCAGCCUCAAUCCUGCAUCUGUCUGACCUUCUCAACACAGAGCAGGGCUCAGUCACCUUAGGCAACGUUCCAGUUUUGGGUCUUACUGUGGUCAGCGUACAUGUUCACCCUGUGUCCAUCUGUCGUCACUCCCCACUUCCCACCUGACAACUAGACAGAGCUCCCCUAGUUCAACCUCUUGUUCUCCAGCCCCCGGGUGCAGACACACACCGUGGUUAACCCUUAGUCCUGAUGACCCCACUAAAAUCCUUCCCUUUUGCCUGAAGCUGUGUGACCUUGGAUGCUUUAGCUUCUUCCCAUUAACUCCUCUGGGAAAUGAACAAGAGUCAGCAUGCUAAAACUAGCCAGGGCUGCACAUGACAAGUGCUUUGGGAAUACCCAGUGGUAGACUGAAUGUCACUGGCAAUUUCCUGUGAUUUUUCGAAUGUGAAAUGCAUCCCCCACCCCACCCAAGCUCAUGUGUUUGAGUACCUGGUUUCCAGCUGGUAGAGGAGAGGUUGACUCUUCAGGAAGUAGAAGAAGUGGAUUCCACCCUGCCCUGCCCUGGUUCUCUCUCUGCUUCCUGUCUUUUGUGAUGUGAAUAAGCAUCUGUGCCACAGAUGGAUUGGCUCUGGCCGCCAUGCCUUCCCUGCUCAAAUGACCUGAAAUCCCCUGAUACCAGGAGCCCAGGUGAACAUCCCUCUCUCAAAUCGCUCCAGUCAGGAGUUUUGUCGCACAAAGUAACUCAUAUACCACCUAAGAGUUAAAGGAUUCACAUCCAGAGAUAGAAUUCUGUACCUAAGUCUCACGUGGGCCAAUGCCCUUUCUGUCUUUCAUUCUGCCUAGAACUGAGAACAAUGCACAGCACACAGUAAGUGCUUAACACACACAUUGGGAUAUGUGGGGGUGUUGGGGUGGGGCGUACAUUCCCUGUAAAGAAGUUCGAAGCAUCAGCAAUGCCAAGAACCACGCCCACAACUACGCCCACAGACGUGCCCGUGACCACGCCCCACAGCCACGCUCUUCAGCUAGCCAGGCUCCUCCCCAGAGUGACUGGAACUGGAAUAUGGACAACCGACAAUGUUCGCAAGGCUGGAAUCGAGUUUUAACUGGACUAGUCGUGUGGGUUCCCUUCCUGGGUUGGCCUCGGGUGAGAGGGCAGGCAGUGUUGAUGGUUCCCACGCUACUGUGAAGAGAAGAUAACGUAAUUGCUCACACUUAGUGGUGCGUACCAGACAGCAAAGUGACCCUGCUUCACUUCGAGGACAAUGCUGGGCCAUUUUCCCCCACAGGUGAGGACCAACACCCUUCCUACAGUCAGGCUGGGAGCGGGAGGAAAGAGACAGUUAUGUGUGCCCUCGUUCCUGGAAAGAUAGCAUCCCCUCUGUCCUUUAGGUGCUUAGUUUCCAAAGGAACCAACCAGUGGCUUUCUCUGAAUCCAGAGCGGAGGGCAGGACAGCCUGCAGCGUCUUCCUUCCUUCACCUGGAGAGAGCAAAUUAGUGUAAUAGCAACGCCCCCGCCGAGUGGCACGUGGGGUGGGGAUCAACUUUCCAGCUCUGUCAAACUGAAAUUCAACACGGGCAUGGUAGUUUACACUUUGCCAGCGAUUACGAAAUUCGGUAAAUCAGUGCCCAAAGAUGGCUGUCUGAACGCCGCUGGCCCUAAGUGAAAAGGUCGGGCUUCCUCUGCUCCCUCCUUCAUUGUCCCCUGAGCUCCAACCAGGCUGAUGGAAAACGCUCAUUGCGCUGUUCUUUCUGGAAGUGCCAUGGGCCUCCGUCCCGGUGGCAAACCGCUCUACGAACAUUUCAAGGGUUCCCUGGCAGAUGGCCUGGCAAAAGCUGGGAACGGUGCCCAGCACCAAGCCCUCUUGUGAUUAAUGCUGGGGCUUUUAUUAUGCAGCCGUAAAGUGAUGUAUUUUACAUACUGUGUAAAGCAUUGAGCCACCAUAGACUAGAUUGCUUUCCCCUUGCUUUUAUUAAUAUCGUUGCUCUCUUUGCCUUUGGAAAAUUUAAACCUCACAGAUGAUGACCCCAUCCCUGAGGAAGUCAAGAGGCAGCAGGUGGCAUGGGACGCCGCUUCUCUGGUUGACUUGCCUCCUCUUGGUUCUGAGCACGACUAGAGUUUGUACGGGUAGCUGAUUUUCCAGUGUAUGUGUGUGCGGUGGUGUGGAGGGCUCAGUGAGCUGGCUCAGCCUUACAAGGAUACCUGCAGUUAGGACAUCGGUGACCCCAUCAACAGGUCUGGACCCAGUUCCAGGAGAAUGUGAUCCGGCAUGAUGUAGAGGGUAAUGUCAUGAACCAACUUGACUUUCUAGGGCUUUCUUGGCUCGGUGGGAAAGAAUUUGAGGGUGGGUCACUAUAAUGAGCAUGCCUAGUCUUCCCUCCCUCCCUCCUUCUGACCGGCAUGGGCUCUACGCUCUUCUCCUCUGGUUUCCUGCACAGGCUCAGAGACAUCCUGAGCUGUCAGGUCCUACCAGGCCUUUCUGUAGGUGCUUCCUAUGGGUUCUGAGGUCACUUCCGGCUGCUCUCUCUUCUCUGCUGUCUCAUAUUUUCAUCCCAGCCUGCCUUAGUCAGGGUUUCUAUUCCUGCACAAAACACCAUGACCAAGAAGCAAUUUGGGGAGGAAAGGGUUUAUUCAGCUCACACUUCCACAUUGCUGUUCAUCACCAAAGGAAGUCAGGGCUGGAACUCAAGCAGGUCAGGAAGCAGGAGCUGAUGUAGAGGCCAUGGAGGGAUGUUACUUACUGGCUUGUUUCCCCUGGCUUGCUCAGCUUGUUUUCUUAGAGAACCCAGGACUACCAGUCCAGGGACGGCACCACCCACAAUGGGUCCUACCCCCUUGAUCACUAGUUGAGAAAAUGCCUUACAGCUGGGUCUCAUGGAGGCAUUUCCUCAAGGGAGGCUCCUUUCUCUGUGAUAACUCCAGCUUGUGUCAAGCUGACACACAAAACCAGCCAGUUCACAGCCUCACCAGACUCCCAUGGACAGGUGGCACACUUCAUUCUGGCAUUGUGAGGGGUUGGGGGUCACAGCGCUGUCUCCGAGGGACUCUAGUACAGUACCUGGGACACCCAGGGAGGCCAGGGACACCUGGAGAAGCCAGGGUAGAUGGUCUCCUCCUAGGAGCAGGGUCCUUAAUGAGUUUGACUCCAAGGGGCCUCCUACUGGUUCUGGUCAGCACCAGGAAUGAACAGGGAGUGUGGCAGGUUCAUGGCUGUUUUUCCCUAGCUGCCCUCCCUGAUGUAAUAGCAGCUGAUAGUGAGGCUGUGAUGGAGCACCUCGAGGAACGUGCUCCGAGAUCCUCCUGAGAGUUACUGCCUGGUUUCACUGGUGCGACAACCUGGCUGACAAUUGGACAGGCUGGUGUUGCCCAGCUGCAGAGAGAAAUUCAUCUUUAUAGAGGAGUUAGGAGAGACUCUGCCUCAGAAAUAGACCGUGGGUGGGGUGUCCGGCCCAUUCUUGGAAAGCAUCUCCUUGAGCUCUGGUAAGGAGCCCCUCCCCCAGCAGUCGGAAGGGGUUGUCUGCAUUUUCUUCUCAUUUUGGUGGCAGUCCAACAGGCUCCUGAAGGGCUUGGUUAGGGUCACAGAUGUAGAAUCUUGACUAGGGUGGCUGUCACUAGGUCCCACCUCCCCAGGCCUCCCCAUGCCAGCCAGGGACUCUCUUCAGCCAAGUCAGAUGGCAGAGGGGGAAUCUUUCUGAUAAGAGGGAUCCCAGUAAAUGGGACCCCAAGUAGUGACUUAGGAGGGGACAGUAGGGGACACUAGGGUGAGGUCUCUCCUGAGGCUCUGAGGUUCAUCUGUGACACCAACCCUGGCUAAGUCUGCUCUUGAACACCAACGCCAUUGUCACCUCAAUGCCCAGUUCUGGCCCGGGCAUGUUUGCUGAAUGAAUGUGUGAGGGCUUGGCUGGGUACCCACAGCAGGUCACUCUAAGUGCCUCUGAAGGCUGAACUACCUUAAGUUGCUGGCUGCCAUGGUGACUCGUGUCUAGUUAAUACUUGCUGUAAACUGGGGCCCACCACAGAGGUGUAGUGGAACCGGCAUGGGACAGUUUUUGUUACUAAGAUAGCCAAGGGAUGUUUCAGGACUUGGCUGAGACACAAGGUCUAGACCUCAGUUCCAAUUAUGUCUCUAGCGAUCUCUCCUGUGCCUGCCAGCUGCUGGGGUCCCUGGUGUCCUCGGCCUGACGGAGCAGUAAGCUCAUUCUGGAGAGCCUGGGAUGGCUAUAAUCUUACUGUCUCAGGCUGACUGGGCUCAGGAGUGACCCAAGGUCUGAAACAAUAUUUUUUAAAAAAAAUUGUAAGAAAGCCAAGUUGAUUAAAAUUCAUCCAUUCAUUCUUGGUUUGGUGGUUGUAUUUUUCAGAUUUUUUUUGUCAAUAUGAGAUAAACUAGAGUCAUCAGAGAAGAGGGAAUUGCAAAUGAGUAAAAGCCCUUACUAGACUGACCUGUAGGCACAGCCAUGAGGCAUUCUCUUGGCUAAUGAUUGAUGUUCGAGGGCCCAGCCCAUGGUGGGCAGUGCCACCCCUGGGCAGGUGGUCCUUGUCUGUGUAAGAAAGCACACUGUUGGGGUUGAGCCAGUAAGCAGCGGUCCUCAUGGCCUCUGCAUCAGCUCCUGCCUUGGGUUCCACUGAUGACGGCCUGUAAGCUCUAAACUAAAUGAACCCUUCCCUCCCUGAGUUGCCUUUGGUCUUGGUGUUGGAUCACAGCAGCAGAAACCUGAGGUGGACUGGAACUGAGCCCAGAGCCCAUGAAUGACAGAACGGCAUUCUUCUACUGAGCUGUGUUCGUCAGCCCCUCUUUGGUAAACCUUUUAUUUCAAGAUGGGGUCUCACCAGGCUGGCCUUGAAUUCACCAUCCUCCCGCCUCAGCCUUCUGAGUAGCUGAGACGACAGGCCCUUGCCACCAGACCUGGCUUCUUAGCAUACAUUGGUUUUGGUUGUAAGUGUCAAUGGAGUCAGCGUGCUGCUUCUGCCCUGUACAGAGAGAGCUCUGAAUCCACCCCACCUUCUCAUCUGUCACAGCAUGGGCUUCACCCUUAAGACAGUGCGAGCUCUAAGCAGCUCUGUCUUAUAGCCUGAGGCCUCAGCCCCUUCAGACCUCUCUCUGUGUCAGAGUUCACAGUUAAGAGCUCCAUAGCCUUAAUCUGUGUCCCUACCCAACCCCUGCUCCUCUAUGCUCCUUGUCAGGGUAGGCUACUCCAGACACGAGAUAAAGAACUCCCCACCCCCCAGAAGACACAUAAUGUUUUUCUUUGUUUUGAACGUUUCUCUUUCCUCUAACCCUCCCCACCCCAUCUCUCUGCUUGGGACAGCAUCUCCUUUUUCUUUGAAGUGUUCCCUUUAAAAAUAUCGUAUUCAUCCUUCGGAAAUUUAAUACGCGUACACCCCGUGCAUUUUCAGAUUCAUCCGCCUCUCCCUUCAUCCACCCGCCAUACUACUACUCACUCCAUCCCCGACACAGCUUCUUGUUUCUCCUUUCCCCUUGAUUAUCAACAGCUUGCUACAUCCUGUCAGUUUGGGGAUUCGAGGCUGUUCCUUGCUGGGGAGAAAACCAAUCGGCCAUAUUCCCAAAAAGACAACCACUCAUCUAAGGUGUUUUUUAUGGCUCCACCUCCAGGUCUUAAAGGGAAACCUCUUUCCCUUUAAGACCCCCCCGGCCAUGUUGGUCUCCGAUCUGCUGUACAGCCCUUUCUAACAUUCCCUUACCUGACUGCCUCCAUGAUCAGUGUUAGCAUUCUGUCUAAGCUCCACCCCACAGUUACCUGGCAAUAGCCCUCCUCCCUCUUUUGCUCUUUUGCUCUUUUGCUCUCUUGCUCUCUUGCUCCUCUCUUGUUCUUGCUUUCCUGUCCCUACUCUCUCCCCAUGCCCUAUGUAGUGGCUAUUCCUGGUUGUCAACUUGACUAUAUCUGGAAUGAAUUACAUCCAGAAUUGGAAAGCUCACCUUUGAUCCUGAUCUUGAGGUUGGGAGAUCCAAGUUUCUGACCUGGAUCUUGGUAUGGAGAUCUUGAGGCAAUAGUGGCUAUGAAUCCCAGGAGCUUAAGGCAAGGAGAUCUCUGAGUUCAAGGUCACCUGAGACAAAGCAAGUCCCAGACCCAGGCAUGGUGGUACACACCUUUAAUCUGGAACACACCUUCUGCUGGACAUAAGGACAUUGGAAGAAGGAAGAGUCUUUUUUGCCUGCCUGCCUGCCUGCCUCCCUCAUGGACUGAGUCACCACUAGAUCCUUGGACUUCCAUUCACAGCUGCUGCAGAUCAUUUUUGGAGAGUUGAACUACAGACUGUAAGUCAUCAACCAAUUCUCUUACUAAAUAGAGACUACCCAUAAGUUCUGUGACUCUAGAAAACCAUGACUAAGACAAAUUGGUACCAGAAGUGGGGUUAUUCCUGUGACAACUUGGCCAUGAGGACUGUGGAAGGACUUUGGAACUUUGAGCUAGAAGAACUAUUGGGAUGAUAAGAGUCUGUAGUAGCUUGGAAGAUAAUGUUGAGAACAGUGCAGAAGAUGGAGGCCUGACUUGUGAAAUUUCAGAGGGAAGAUUAAAGACUCUUAUCAGGGCCAUGAUGUUUUGAUUGUAAAGAUUUUGUGAUUUUGGUUAGCUGGGGCUGAAGAAUGAGCUGUGAUUAACAAGAUACCAGAACUACUAAAGUGAACCUUUAAGUUACUGGGACUAUUGGUGCUGGUCAGCUGGAGCUAGGAAAUUAGUGGUGAUUAAGAAGAGACCAGCAUCACUGAGGUGAAAUCUUCUGGGAAGUGUUUCUGAGACCACAAAGAGGCUGUGUUCCAGAGAUAGCCAAGGUUGUUCUUUGUGCUAUGACUGGACUUGGUAAUGUGUAAGAGUCACCUAGGUGGUAGUGGUUUUGAAGACAUGAAGGGGUCAUGAAGAGCAACUGAGACAAGGCACUGUGAGAGGCCAUGGAAGGCCAAUGGUGAAGGUGCACUCUUAGUUGCAACUGAUGGCUCAGGACUGAAGGGGUCAUGCAAAGGAGUUGAGGCCUGGUACCAUGAAGAGAGCCUGUGAGAGGCUAUUGGUGAAGCCCAGUUGCAAUGGAAGACAGCAGCAUUUUGGAGAUGCCAGUACCAUGAGAUGACCACCAAGAGCAGUAGCAGCAGUGGAGAACAGGCAUCUGGAGCCUAGAAGACAAGGUGUGGGCUACAAAGGGCAGAGGUGGAGGAAUGACCUAAGCCCUUGGAAGAGCCUAGAAGAUCAUGGGUGCGUCCCAGACAUUGGAGAGUUAGUUUGAUUUUGCUUUUGAUUGUGACUGCACCCUGAUAUUUUUCCCUCUUGAACUAAGAAGUCUUUUAGUGAAGUCCACAGUUAAGAGACUUUGAAUUUUAAAAAGACUUUUUAAUUUUAAAAGAUAUAGAACACUUUAAAUGGAUUGAACUUUUAAUAUGUAAAGACUGUGGGACUCUUAAAGUUAUUUAGAUCUUGGGGAUGAAUAAGAAAGUAAGGGUUGAGGUUUAAUAGUGAUGUGUUUGUGUGUCAAGUUGACAAGGGGUCAGUUGUACUGUCUGGUUUUGUGUGUCAACUUGACACAAGCUGGAGUUAUCACAGAGAAAGGAGAUUCCCUUGAGGAAAUGCCUCCAUGAGACCCAGCUGUAAGGCAUUUUCUCAAUUACUGAUCAAGGGGCGAGGACCUAGCCCUUUGUGGGUGGUGCCAUCCCUGGGCUGGUGAUCUUGGGUUCUAUAAGAAAGCAAGCUGAGCAGGCCAGGGGAAGCAAGCCAGUAAGUAACAUCCCUCCAUGGCCUCUCCAUCAGCUCCUUCUUCCUGGCUUGCUUGAGUUCCAGUCCUGACUUCCUUUGGUGAUGAACAGCAAUGUGGAAGUGUAAGCUGAAUAAACCCUUUCCUCCCCAACUUGCUUCUUGGUUAUGAUGUUUGUGUAGGAAUAGAAACUCUGACUAAGACACCCUUCCCCUCUCUCUCCCUGUGUGCUCACAUCGUUCUCUACUUUUCUCUUCCUCCUCCUCCUCUUCUUCCUCCUCCUCUUCCUCCUCCUCUUCCUCCUCCUCUUCCUCCUUCAUCCUCUCUCUCUCUCUCUCUCUCUCUCUCUCUCUCUCUCUCUCUUUCUCUCCCUCCCUUUCUCUGCCCCUACUACCCUGGUAACCCCCCUCCAUGUCCUGAAUAAACUAUUCUAUACUAUACAUUUUGUGGCUGGUCCCUCAGGGGAAGGGAUGCCUCAACAUGGGCCUGUGGAGGCACCCCCUUCCCCACACCUCACCACACCUCCAUAGAACAUAUCCCCCCUUUAUCUUUUUAUAAACACAUCAGUCAGUACUCCCUCUCUGCUAGCACAGCUUCCCUAGGGGUAAUUUCGUUUCUGCUCUUCAUGCUUUUCUUUCCAAAUGGCCUUCUGCUCAGCACCCACCCACUGUCAGGGGACCUCCGAGAGGGACACAGGACUCCUGCUCCAGUGUCUCGCCUGCUUUUGGAACAGGGCUGGAAAUCCUGAAGAAAAGCCCUAGAGCUACCGCAGGAGGCUUCCAGUUUGGGGGCAUUAGGCUUCAACAGUCAGACCCAGCCUCCCUAGGAGGUUUCAGGGUCACCUUCUUUGGGGUAUGUGGUGGUUUGUAUAUGCUUGGCCCAGGGAGGGGCAGGAUUAGGAGGUGUGGCCUUGUUGGAGGAGGUGUGGCCUUGGAGUGGGUGUGGCCUUGUUGGAGAAGGUGUGUCACUGUGGGUGUGGGCUUUAAGACCCUCAUCCUAGCUGCCUGGAAGCCAGUCUUCUAACGGCCUUCAGAUGAAGAUGUAGAACUCUCAGCUCCUCCCGCACCAUAGCUGCCUGGAUGCUGCCAUGUUCCCGCCCUGAUGAUAAUGGACUGAAACUCCGAACCUGUAAGCCAGCCCUAGUCAGAUGUUGUCCUUAUCAGAGUUGCCUUGGUCAUGGUGUCUGUUCACAGUGGUGUGAUUCCAACCUGAGAGCCACAAGGUCUUCACAGAUCCUGCUCAGCUUUCUGGAAGAUUCCCAAGGCUGAGCCUGGCUCCUAGGGUUCAAAGCAGGAGGCGUUUUGGCCACAGACUGGUCCUCGCUGUUGAGAUGUCCUUGGGGGAAUGUGCUUCCUUCAAUCUUCCACCAUUUAAGUCUUUCUGCUCUCGACUCUGACUGAGUAUGACCUCUUACUGUGGGAUCCUAGAGGUAACAGGUGGGGCUCAGGCCUCUCUGGUCCUGCCCUCCAUCCACACCUGAAGGCUGAGUGCUCUCAGAGGUGUCAGGCCACACCUGUCCUAGUGCAGUGUGACUGGCUGCAAAUGCACUAUUCUAUUGUAACACCCCCCACCCCCCGCCACUGAGUUUCUGGGAGGGGCAGAUGCCCCAUUACAUGGUGGGCGUGGCUUCCUCACCUGACACCAGCAUGUGGAGGUAGGUCACUAUCCCUACAGCAGGUCCACAUGGAGAAAUGGCUCUUUGUGGAUCCUACUAGACCACGAAGCUACUGCCUGCAGUGCACACACCCUUAGAGAGAACGAUUUCAUCACUUCCACUAAACCUGCUUCUGCCAACACCACGUUCCCCAUGUACAUCUGGAGGAGCUGAAGCAGGACAGCUAAGAAACAGGAGCUCCCCUCCCCCAGCUAAGUCAGUGUACUGGACCACCAAAACAUGGGGCGGAAGAGGUCAGUGCUAAGGACCACUGUGACACACUGGGGAAACUGAGGCAGCUUUAACCACACUCUCCCUUUACCUGACAUUCCUAAGAACUGCUUUGGUGUAUGUGUGUGUGUGUGUGUGUGUGUGUGUAUGUGUGUGUGUGUGUGUAUGUGUGUGUGUGUAUGUAUGUGUAUGUGUGUAUGUAUGUAUGUAUGUGUAUGUGUGUAUGUAUGUAUGUGUAUGUGUGUGUGUUUGUGCCCUCUAAUCUUAGAAGUAUUCCGUGCUCAGUACAAGAAAGCUGUAAACUGCAGAGGUAAUGUAUAUAAAGGACCAUAAAGAUUAAAAUCGGCUUCCCUUGAUCCCAUUUCAAAGGGUGGCUGGGAUUUUCUGUUUAUCUUCUGUGUUCUUUCCUGUAUCUGAGAAACAAGGCAUCGUAAAACUCCGGUGGCCAGGACUUCCUGUUUAUCUGUGUGUUCCUCUCUGUAUCUAGAAAAUGAAGCAACGUAAAAAAAAAUGAUAUCAUGUCCUUGGUUAAGAUCUCGACUUUGUUUUAGCAUGACAUUACAGGAUAAACGUUUCCCCGGGUGUGUGUACCUGCUCUUAAGAGCAACACUUUUAGUUUUUUUGUUCGUUUGUUCAUUUUUUGUUGUUGUUUUUGUCGGUUUUUUUUAGACACAGUCUCGCCAAACAGACCAGACUAGCCUGGAAUUUGUAGAGAUGCACCUCGUCGUGGGAUUAAAGGUCGGGGGAGGCAUCAACAUGCCCUGCUCCAAACAUUUUUUUUAUGCAUAAGUGAUGUGUUUCCUUUUUGUGGAGAGAUCAGAAAUGCACAACACCCAUGACUUGAGCCCUUAUGGGGGUGCUAUUUAGAGUCUGGGGACAACUACAUGAGGGUCCUAGGUCUUGUUCCACAGAACACAGUGUUGACAGAGACACAUAGUCAAUUGCAGGCAAAGCAGAAAGUUUAUUGAGAAGGGUUAUGCUUUGAGGAAAGACUUUAGGGAAGACUGUGGGAAAGUUUAGUGAGUGCAGGUGUGUUGGACCAGGGAUGGGCCUUUCUUUACGAUAUGCUUGGGCUCUGGGUCUCAUCUGCUCAGCCUAGGAUUUUCUGAGCAUGCUCUGUGUACCCCCACGUCUCAGCCAAGGGUGAGAAGUGGGAAGAGGAGAGGGGGUUCGAGCCUUUCUCUUUGGCAGUAUUUUUUUUCCCUGUAUGCAAAUUUUGUAAUGUGACUAGAGGCCUUCCAGACCUCACUCUUCUGCCCCAUUCUCUCUCAGUUGUCCUUGGUCCCGUUAGCUGCCAACAGCCAU